rnacentral:rRNA from 1 species
AUUGAACGCUGGCGGCAUGCUUUACACAUGCAAGUCGAACGGUAACAGGGAGCUUGCUCCGCUGACGAGUGGCGAACGGGUGAGUAAUAUAUCGGAACGUACCCAGAAGUGGGGGAUAACGUAGCGAAAGUUACGCUAAUACCGCAUACGAUCCACGGAUGAAAGUAGGGGACCUUCGGGCCUUAUGCUUUUGGAGCGGCCGAUAUCUGAUUAGCUAGUUGGUGAGGUAAAGGCUCACCAAGGCGACGAUCAGUAGCUGGUCUGAGAGGACGACCAGCCACACUGGAACUGAGACACGGUCCAGACUCCUACGGGAGGCAGCAGUGGGGAAUUUUGGACAAUGGGCGCAAGCCUGAUCCAGCAAUGCCGCGUGAGUGAAGAAGGCCUUCGGGUUGUAAAGCUCUUUUGUCAGGGAAGAAACGGGAGUGGCUAAUAUCCAUUCUUAAUGACGGUACCUGAAGAAUAAGCACCGGCUAACUACGUGCCAGCAGCCGCCGUAAAAC